GAAUAUCUUGGUAAUUUGCUUGACCCAUAUUUCCGCCAUGAUCGGAUCCGGCUUUCCCUUAAAUUCUGGUGGUCUCAACUCUUUGAACUGCUUGGCUGUGACAACCCGUGAAUUGCUAUCAUUUUCUCCUGUAUUUUGAACACGAGUCUCCCUUGUCUGAUUUUGCAUGAACUGCAAAAAGCUUCUAAACAUCCCCUCGUUCAUCAUCUGCUCAGUGGUGUUGUUCACAGGAGGAACAUU
rnacentral:lncRNA from 1 species